AUCGAACGCUGGCGGAAUGCUUUACACAUGCAAGUCGAACGGCAGCACGGACUUCGGUCUGGUGGCGAGUGGCGAACGGGUGAGUUAUGUAUCGGAACUUGGCAGGUCGUGGGGGAUAACGUAGUGAUAAUUACGCUAUUACUGCAUACGAUCUAUGGAUGAAAGAGGGGGAUCGCAUGCACACGGCCGAUUGGAGCGGCCGAUACACGAUUAGGUAGUUGGUAGGGUAAAGGCUCGCCAAGCCAACGAUCUGUAGCGGGUCUGAGAGGACGACCAGCCACACUGGAACUGCGACACGGUCCAGACUCCUACGGGAGGCAGCAGUGGGGAAUUUUGGACAAUUGACGCAAGUCUGAUCCAGCCAUUCCGCGUGCAGGAUGAAGGCCCUCGGGUUGUAAACUGCUUUUGUACGGAGCGAAAAGGUCUCUCUUAAUACGGGGGACUAAUGACGGUACCGUAAGAAUAAGCACCGGCUAACUACGUGCCAGCAGCCGCCGCGG
rnacentral:rRNA from 1 species